AGUGGUAAGGUUGAGGGGGAAAGGCCAGACAGCCAGAGAUUUCCGGGCUUGACCUGUUUUAAUUGUGGAAAGGGAGGGUGUAUUGCAUCUAGGUGCUUUGCUCCGAGGAAAGAGACAGGAAAAGGGAAAGCAGCAGUCCCUAUCGGAUGUGCCGUGGUAAUCAGUAAAUCGACAAGAGAGCCCCGGGUAGACAGAGUACGAGAAGGGUCUGAGACUUGUAUGUCAAACGGAACCGUGUCUGUGAGAGAGGGAGACACACCAGUUCCAGUAUGGAUCUGGAGAGAUACGGGGGCUGAGCUAUCGUUGAUCAGCAGUAAGGUAUUUACAGGAGAAUGCUGUUGUUUCGUAUGACAUGGCCCAGAUGGGGCAGAUGUGAGCCUGUCCAUCCGGGAGCCGGGAUUGGAUCAGUCUUUGCCUGGCAUCCCGUCCAUAGCCGUUCCAACAUCAGAGGCCCCAAGUUGGCAUUGCCUGAUGGAAUCCCUGAAGCAUGCAAGCCUCUGCACAAUCCAGGUCGUGGAGAGCAAUCAAAAGCCUGCGCUCACCUUCCGCAUUCACCUUAAUGAUUCGAUCUCCCUCGUCGCUUUAGUUGGCAAAAUGGAGUUGAACGUCGGCUCACACCCCAUCCCACAGCUUGCUCGCCGUGAUGUUCGCGCAUGCUGCCUUUGUCUCCCGUAGCCCUCUUGGAGACUGCAGAGCACCCAAAUGAUCUCCAAUCAGCAAAUAACUGCCUUCAACAGUUCCAGAAUCACAUCCAAGAUGAAAACAGAUGUAAAAGAUAUAGAAGAAGUGAAAUAUAUGGUCAUGAUUUAUUCAGAAGAUGAUGACUGAAGGAGCACUGCAUGCAGGUGCCACCUUGACUGGAAUUCCAUUUCCCUUUCCUGAAAGAUCCCGUUUCACCCUGUUUAUCUCUCUUCCCAAUCUUUUCGUUCUGAUGAGUGGGCUUCAACCAGAAGCACCAACUCUGAUUUUCUUUCUAUAGGUGCUUCAGCAAUCCUUCCACUCUGCCGUCGGAUUUCCGAAUGGACGAUAAAUCAAUAUACACCACAUCACUAUUUACUUGUUAAUUUGUUAAUCUCUUUUUGCACUACUUACUUAAUUUAAUAUCAAAUGUUAGUGUAAUUUAUAGCUUUUUUAUUAUUAAGUAUUGCAAUGUACUGCUGCUGCAGAAUAACAUAUUUCGUGACA